rnacentral:rRNA from 1 species
ACGGGGUGCAGCAGGCGCGAAAUCUUCACAAUGUGCGAAAGCACGAUGAGGGGAUCCCAGGUGCUGGCACGUAAGUGUCAGCUGUUUCUUUGUCUAAAAAACAAAGAGAGUAAGAGCUGGGUAAGACGGGUGCCAGCCGCCGCGGUAAUACCUGCAGCUCAAGUGGUGGCCACUAUUAUUGGGCCUAAAACGUCCGUAGCCGGUUUAAUAAAUGCCGGGGUAAAUCGUGUAGCUUAACUAUACGAAUUCCGGGUAGACUGUUAGACUUGAGACCGGGAGAAGCUAGAGGUACUCCUGGGGUAGAGGUGAAAUUCUGUAAUCCUAGGGGGACCACCAGUGGCGAAGGCGUCUAGCUAGAACGGGUCUGACGGUGAGGGACGAAGCCCUGGGGCGCAAACCGGAUUAGAUACCCGGGUAGUCCAGGGUGUAAACGCUGCUCGCUUGAUGUUAGUUGGGCUCCGAGCCCAACUAGUGUCGGAGAGAAGUUGUUAAGCGAGCUGCCUGGGAAGUACGGCCGCAAGACUGAAACUUAAAGGAAUUGGCGGGGGAGCACAGCAACGGGUGGAGCGUGCGGUUUAAUUGGAUUCAACGCCGGAAAUCUCACCGGAGGCGACGGUUACAUGAAGGCCAGGUUGAUGACUUUGCCUGAUUUUCCGAGAGGUGGUGCAUGGCCGCCGUCAGUUCGUACCGUAAGGCGUUCUGUUAAGUCAGACAACGAACGAGACCCUCAUCUUUGG